GACCCGAAUUUUCACAAAUUAUUUUAUUAUUCUUAUUCAGGAUUAUUCGAGGAAAAUGAGGAAUGAAAUUCAAUAUUUUAUUCUAGUUUGAUAAUUUUCAAAAAUAUUGUUUAAAUUAUUUUCCUAGUCAUUGGGGUUAUGGGAAAAAUAUCUGCCGAUCGUGCAAUUAUCUGUUACGAGAUUUAAUUGAUUUAUUUGUGUACGAUUAUAUUUGUGUGUGCAUUUAUUUCUGCGUUUGAUAUUAUUAUAUUAAAUUUAUUACCCGCCUAAAUGAAUAUUUAUAUUUGUAAAAAUAUAAAGAUAAUUUGAUAAAUUGUUUUAAUUGCUCGAUAGUGAUCAUAAAUAUUUUUAGGAGUUUUUAAAAUAUUAAAAAAAAUCUUAUUUCUACAAGGACAUGAAUUUUAAUUAGUUUCUGGAAGCAGCUAAAUUCUAAAUUUUGUAUAAAUUUAUAAAAUGCUCUAUAAGUCCCAAAAAUUUUAUUUACUGGUUUUCUAAUAUUCUAGGAUUUAUAAAAAUAUUUCGGUAAUUUUUGGGAGAAGUUUUACUAAUAAGUUAUCUCCGUAAAUUAGUUAAAAGCGGGUAUAGGUUAAUUGGUGACUUGGUACAUGGCUUCUUUUGGGGUAUAACACGUAUGUACUCUUUCAUUCUCUUAAGCCACGUACACCAUUCCUCUGUCUUUCUCUUUUAAAACCCAUUAUAAUCACACCGCCUCUCCCCCCUCGACUUCUCCAGACUCCCGCACCAUUCUUCAACCUCCCGCAUCACUUCCCUCUUCUGUCCAAAUCAGGUGCAGCUCUAUCGGAUUCCUUUUCUGGCCGAUGAGUCCUGACGCCCCAACGCCGCUAUGUUUCCGGCAAUUAAGGAAUGGUCUCCACCUACUUGAAUUCAAUUUGAAUAGAUCAAGACGUGUAUAUCGAGAAUGUUCAGAAUUAAUCCGAUGGUGUUGCAAGUUGAAGCAAGAAUAAUCUGAGAUGACAGACGUAGAAAGAGUAUUGUCAGAAGCUGCUUAGAAAGAUAUGAUUGUGCGGUAUAGUGCUAUUAGAAUCGUGACUAGACGUCGGAGUUAAGCUAGGGAUAAAGAUGAUUCACUAAAGACUGCGCGUAAAGAGUAAUGAUAGGCAAUGAUUGCAAGUGGUUGAGUUCAGGAAAAUUGUUAGGUAGGGUAUCCGGGACGAUGUGAUUAAGACUAGAUGCAGUUGGAGUUCUGCAAUUCAAUUCAGUUGGAAAUGAGAUUUGUUUAUUUGGUUAUCAGCUACUCUUCUUAUCGAUGUUUAGCUGAUAAUGCAGUUUAAUUUGUAAUGAAAUUUGAUAGUUUUAGUUUCUGAUUUCAAUGCUGUAACCUGUAUGCGAUCCUGUUUUCAGGGGGUGAAUUUGAUUUUAAUUUAAAUCAUUUUUUUUAAAAAUAUCCAGGUUUUGAAAUAUUUGUAUUUACUUUCUUUCAAAGAUACAGGUUUUAAAUUGUUUUUCUUUCAGUGACUCAAAAAUACAGGUUUUAAAUUAUUUUUAUUUACACGUGGCACCAGAUUCAGACCCCCGGAUUUGAGGGAUGUCACAGUUGGUAUCAGAGCUACAGGUUAUAAGUUAUUGAAAUCAGAAUGUAGAUUGUAAUAAUAGGUUUGAUAAAAAGGAUUACGUGGUGUAACCUCACAUAGAGGUACCGUAAGACUAUUUGGGGAUAGUCUUUCUAAGCAGAAUAAAAUGGAGCUAGAUGAUUAAGUUUAACUGUUUAUAGUUAUAGACAUCACACUUCCUAAUUCUAGUUCUUCCAGUCCCUGGUAUAUUGACCAAUUUAGAGUUAAAUCAAUCUAAGAUGGUCGAAGUAAGACCUAUCAGCAGAACCUUCAAGCUAGAACCAGUUGAGGUCGGACCCGUAGAGAUUUCCACACAGUCUAAUAUAUCAUUUAUAGUAUAUGCCAAGUGUUGAGUAUUAUUUGGAGAGUCACCUUUUGAUUCUUGUCAGAGAUAUCUAGAAUUGGUGAAAGAAUAUAGGUGUUACCAAGUCUGAGUUUAAAGCUUUGUAAAUAGUUAAGUACUGAGAAUUAGAGCUACGUAGAAUUCGUGUUAGAUUCCUCGAUCCAGUACUUAUAAGCGAGUUAAGACGUCAACGCUAUAUGGUGAUAUUAUUGCAUAAAGUUGGAUAAGACUUCUGACCGGCAACGAUAUCAAUGAUGGGAUCUUCAAAGGCUAUUACUAGUCAACGAUAAUAUAUGCAAGUGAUCACUAGAACGUCAAGAAGAAUCACUAGUAUCAAAACGAGUCAUCAAAGGAAUCGAUCAAGAAGACAUCUGUGAGAAUCUUGGCAAUACCUUCCUCUUUGUUGAUUAUAUUGAUUACCUUCUUCAUCAAUGAAUUGUCUUGACAUCUUUUCCUAGAGAUGUUUGAUAAAGACUAUAUUUCUAUCUCUUGAGUUAUAAAAUGAUACUUGUGUCUAUUUUAUCAUUUCUAACUAAUCUUUUCAUUGAAACUAGCACCUUUGGAACUUAUUCAAUUUUUAACUCAAGGUGCGCAUCAAAGAUUCAUUCAUCAAAAGUCAAUCAUUCUUAAUUGAUUUUGAAAAUCUAUCAUAUCAUUCUACUCUAACUGAGAUGAACAACCCUACCUAUAGGGGACACAAGGACUACCAGUCUGUGUGAUAGGAGUUGGAUGGGACGCCAUCACUUGUGUGUGUUGUACAUUACAAGAAGGUUAACUACCUUUAGUAGUGUCUUAAUCUAGACACGCAACACUGAGUUCAUUAGAUCAUAUUGGUCUCUCAGUUAUCUCUAUUUCAAGUGAGAUUUAUUUAACACUCUCAUAAUCAUAUGACCACAAUCACGUGACAUUUGCUUCGAUAUAUGAAAUUUGGUCAUACUUUUAAAUCUUCAAGAUUCUCGUUAUCUCUAAUAGUUUGGAGGUAUGCCUACCAUGUUGCCAAUAUGAAUUGAGACUUUAUACCAGGAAGUACCAUGGAUAAAAGCGGAUGACAAUGCGGGUAUACGACAGCGAUUAAGAAAAUUGUUAUAUCAGAAAGGGGUAUUACAGAUUAUAGAGAUCGUAUGCUCUUGUUUGCUUUUCGCUGAUUCCGAGGACGGAAUCCUUUUAAGGGGGGUAGAUUGUGACGACCCGAAUUUUCACAAAUUAUUUUAUUAUUCUUAUUCAGGAUUAUUCGAGGAAAAUGAGGAAUGAAAUUCAAUAUUUUAUUCUAGUUUGAUAAUUUUCAAAAAUAUUGUUUAAAUUAUUUUCCUAGUCAUUGGGGUUAUGGGAAAAAUAUCUGCCGAUCGUGCAAUUAUCUGUUACGAGAUUUAAUUGAUUUAUUUGUGUACGAUUAUAUUUGUGUGUGCAUUUAUUUCUGCGUUUGAUAUUAUUAUAUUAAAUUUAUUACCCGCCUAAAUGAAUAUUUAUAUUUGUAAAAAUAUAAAGAUAAUUUGAUAAAUUGUUUUAAUUGCUCGAUAGUGAUCAUAAAUAUUUUUAGGAGUUUUUAAAAUAUUAAAAAAAAUCUUAUUUCUACAAGGACAUGAAUUUUAAUUAGUUUCUGGAAGCAGCUAAAUUCUAAAUUUUGUAUAAAUUUAUAAAAUGCUCUAUAAGUCCCAAAAAUUUUAUUUACUGGUUUUCUAAUAUUCUAGGAUUUAUAAAAAUAUUUCGGUAAUUUUUGGGAGAAGUUUUACUAAUAAGUUAUCUCCGUAAAUUAGUUAAAAGCGGGUAUAGGUUAAUUGGUGACUUGGUACAUGGCUUCUUUUGGGGUAUAACACGUAUGUACUCUUUCAUUCUCUUAAGCCACGUACACCAUUCCUCUGUCUUUCUCUUUUAAAACCCAUUAUAAUCACACCGCCUCUCCCCCCUCGACUUCUCCAGACUCCCGCACCAUUCUUCAACCUCCCGCAUCACUUCCCUCUUCUGUCCAAAUCAGGUGCAGCUCUAUCGGAUUCCUUUUCUGGCCGAUGAGUCCUGACGCCCCAACGCCGCUAUGUUUCCGGCAAUUAAGGAAUGGUCUCCACCUACUUGAAUUCAAUUUGAAUAGAUCAAGACGUGUAUAUCGAGAAUGUUCAGAAUUAAUCCGAUGGUGUUGCAAGUUGAAGCAAGAAUAAUCUGAGAUGACAGACGUAGAAAGAGUAUUGUCAGAAGCUGCUUAGAAAGAUAUGAUUGUGCGGUAUAGUGCUAUUAGAAUCGUGACUAGACGUCGGAGUUAAGCUAGGGAUAAAGAUGAUUCACUAAAGACUGCGCGUAAAGAGUAAUGAUAGGCAAUGAUUGCAAGUGGUUGAGUUCAGGAAAAUUGUUAGGUAGGGUAUCCGGGACGAUGUGAUUAAGACUAGAUGCAGUUGGAGUUCUGCAAUUCAAUUCAGUUGGAAAUGAGAUUUGUUUAUUUGGUUAUCAGCUACUCUUCUUAUCGAUGUUUAGCUGAUAAUGCAGUUUAAUUUGUAAUGAAAUUUGAUAGUUUUAGUUUCUGAUUUCAAUGCUGUAACCUGUAUGCGAUCCUGUUUUCAGGGGGUGAAUUUGAUUUUAAUUUAAA